AGCAUCUUGCAUUUUGUUCCAAGUUUUCAAAUGUACCCGAACAUCAUGUUGACAUAUCUUGUUCCUUCUAACUUUCUACGUAUAAUCAACCAGGCUCUAACCACUGAGCUCAUGGCUCGGUGUGUGAAUAGACAGCAUGGUACUGGCCAUCCAGGUAGAUGGAUGAACAUUUGGGCAGGUCCCAUUCCUCCUUCACAAACACUGGCCCAGGGAACCCCUGCGUAUCUCUGGUGCACACAGCAGACCUAGAACUGCAGGGACACAGGGCGUCUCUAUUCCUCCAACCGCGGGGACAUGGGGUGUCUAUGUUCACUUUUGCUAUGAGCUGCAGCCAGCUCUUAGGAGCAGCCGGACUAAUUUACUGCCCGGAGACAGGUCAUGGCCCCACUCUCCACGUUCGUGCGCUUCCUUGGAUUUUUGACGUUCCCAGGUUGCUGCCCCCGCGGUGUGCAUCACCCCCUCCCCCUCCUCGGGCCCCGCCGCAGCACUGGGAACCCGGGUAAAGCCCACUGGCGUCAAUCGGCAGUCACUAAGUCCCGCCGUCCUUGUCCUCAUUCUACCCUGCCUAAUAUGACCCUGGAUUCUGGAACUUCAGUUUCCCGUGGCCUCACUCGGAAUUCCCUGAGCCCUCCCCGCGGUCCUGGUCUCCGCUCCUUCGUGUCCGCGCCCUGGAGCCCUCACCUGAGCAUCUAGCGAGGGGACAGAGACCCCUGGCGGCCGAAAAGGGUGAGAAAAACCAGAGCCGCAGAGAAGUUUGUGAAAAUUAAUAAAGGGAAACUUUCCUGAAAUGGAGUACAGCAGCUCUCAAGACUUACCACUAGACUCAAGGGUUGUCAGUUACAGAUCCUCAACAGAAGCAUCAACAGGAAAGAAUCAUCAAUUGUAGGCCUCAACAGAGAAAGCUGGGCAUUGUAUCUCCUACAAGAAACUGACCACCCAGCUACUCCACCAAUGAGAAGCCUUCAUCACCCUGAACGCUUGUCUUUCUCCAGUGAUCUCCUUCAAAACAACCCCUCCCAGCUUCCUCCUUCUCCAUAUGAUAAUGUUUCUCUCCUUUGUUGGACUAGCCUAUGGUUGUUGCCCCAGCUUGAAUUGCAGUAUUCUGGUAUUCCCUAAUAAACCCAUUUUUGCUGGGAACAUGAAA